UUUUCAUGAACAAAAAGCAAACCGGUUUGGAAUGGUGGUAAAUAAUGCCAGAAAUACAAUACAAUUCUAAAUACUUGGAUUAUUUUGGCUUUUUUUUUUUUUUUGCAGUUAGGUUGGUCAAUCGGGCCUGAAUACUUGAUCAAACAGCAGACUGUUAUGCAGAACAGUCUCUAUACAUGUCCGACCCCAUUACAGGCAAGUUUUGUCUGUGUUAUUAUAUAGUUGUACACAAUGCACUCUUCUAUGCAAUGUGUUUGUGACAUACAUUGUACUGCAUAGUAGGAGGCUGUUGGCCAGGUCUUCUUCGGGACUUUGAGCUGAUGGGUCAACCCGACUGCUACUUUGGCGUUAGAGUUGGAAGGGAAAAGAGACCGCAUGGCAGCCAUGUUGAGACAGACUGGCAUGACUCCAGUGGUCCUGGAGGGAGGAUACUUCAUGAUAGUGGAUGUCACAGCACUCAAUCAGGACUUGUCACAUAUGGGAGAUGAUGAACCAUAUGAUUACAUAUGAUUUGUCAAAUGGAUGAUAAAAGAGAAGAAACUGGCUGCGAUUCCUGUAACAGCUUUUGUGGGGGAAGAUUCAGUAAAGCAGUUUGAGAAAUACAUCCGUUUGUGUUUUAUCAAGGUAAGGAGUGGGUUAAUUUUAGGCUUUUACGGGAAAUGCAAAAGAUCGUUCAGCUA
rnacentral:lncRNA from 1 species